UACGUAGGUGACUAGCGUUGUCCGGAUUUACUGGGCGUAAAGAGCGCGCAGGCGGUCGUUCAAGUCGAGUGUGAAAGCCCCCGGCUCAACUGGGGAGGGUCAUUCGAUACUGAUCGACUCGAAGGCAGGAGAGGGAAGCGGAAUUCCCGGUGUAGCGGUGAAAUGCGCAGAUAUCGGGAGGAACACCGGUGGCGAAGGCGGUUCUCUGGGCCUUACCUGACGCUGAGGAGCGAAAGCGUGGGGAGCGAACAGG
rnacentral:rRNA from 1 species